rnacentral:rRNA from 1 species
UGGGGAAUAUUGCGCAAUGGGGGAAACCCUGACGCAGCAACGCCGCGUGGAGGAAGAAGGUCUUCGGAUUGUAAACUCCUGUCUUCUGGGACGAAGAAUGACGGUACCAGAGGAGGAAGCCACGGCUAACUACGUGCCAGCAGCCGCGGUAAUACGUAGGUGGCGAGCGUUGUCCGGAAUUACUGGGCGUAAAGGGCGCGUAGGCGGCUUUUUAAGUCAGAUGUGAAAACCCGAGGCUUAACUUCGGGAGUGCAUUUGAAACUGAAGGGCUUGAGUGCAGGAGAGGUAAGUGGAAUUCCUAGUGUAGCGGUGAAAUGCGUAGAUAUUAGGAGGAACACCAGUGGCGAAGGCGACUUACUGGACUGUAACUGACGCUGAGGCGCGAAAGCGUGGGGAGCAAACAGG